UACAGAGGUCUCAAGCGUUGUUCGGAUUCAUUGGGCGUAAAGGGUGCGUAGGUGGCGUCGUAAGUGGGGUGUGAAAUCCCGGGGCUUAACCCCGGGACUGCAUUCCAUACUGCGGUGCUUGAGGACUGGAGAGGAGACUGGAAUUUACGGUGUAGCAGUGAAAUGCGUAGAGAUCGUAAGGAAGACCAGUGGCGAAGGCGGGUCUCUGGACAGUUCCUGACACUGAGGCACGAAGGCCAGGGGAGCAAACGGG
rnacentral:rRNA from 1 species